GCCAGUGUGGCAUAGUGGUUUGAGUGUUGGACUACAACUCUGGAGACCAAUGUUUGAUUCCCAGCUCAGCCA